CCAGCCAGGAACCCUGCAAGCUCAUACAACCACCACUCCAGACAGUGCAUCAGCAUGCUGGGGAGGGCCAAGUGGAAGAAGGAACCCCAUUCUUGCAGGCAGUCUCCAGACCAGCCUGAAAGAUAACAGGAGGCCAGUGCUUUGCAGUCAUCAAAUGCACCUGAUUCUGAAGAUAACUCCCCUGCAGAUGGUACAUGAAGGCAGCCUGCCGAACCCAACGUGUUGAAUGGGGGUUAAUUAGACUGAUAAUGCAACACAUUAUGGAAGGAGAUACAAAAGGCAUUUGGGAAAAGCGUGGCGGCAGCUGAACUCACUGGCAGAGCCGGCAUAAAGAUCUUCACAUACAGCUGCGACAGUCUUUAUGGCAGAGAGAAAAGGGGAGAUUGUAAUUGCUUGCACCUCUGGUUCAUUCUCCACUUACUGCCGUAACUACCUGGAUUUCCCCUGACACCGUUCCUUCGCUCCAGCUUACUUCCACCCCGAUUCUUCCUCCAAGCUGCCUCCACACCUCCUGUGGAAAAUCAGGAAACUCGCUGGCCUACCCUCAUUCUCAUCACAACCAUCCACAGCUUCUAGAAAUUGUGCCUGGACAUUCUCGUUUCACUCGCCGCUAACUUCGCCAUCACCCCCGGAGAACCACCCCACCCUCAAUAGCUUCUUUCCUUCACCUGCCAAUGUAUCCAGCCCCUGUGAAGUUUCCUCUGAGCCCUGCUCUGCCUUUGAUAAUCCCUGUGUUAAAUAAAAUCUGUUUAAGUUUGAAUUCUUCCUGUAUUGAGUCUGCUUUUGGGGCCACCUUCAAACCAGCCUCUUAGCCUUUUG